rnacentral:rRNA from 1 species
UACGUAGGGAGCAAGCGUUGUCCGGAAUCAUUGGGCGUAAAGCGCGCGUAGGCGGCCCCGUAAGUCCGCUGUGAAAGUCAUAGGCUCAACCUUUGAAAGCCGGUGGAUACUGUGGGGCUAGAGUCCGGAAGAGGCGAGUGGAAUUCCUGGUGUAGCGGUGGAAUGCGCAGAUAUCAGGAGGAACACCAAUAGCGAAGGCAGCUCGCUGGGACGGUACUGACGCUAAGGCGCGAAAGCGUGGGGAGCGAACAGG